CUUUAUCUUUUUAGUAGUAAGAUUUGUUUGGUAUAAAUACUCCCCAAGAUAAUAUCCUCAAGCAGAGAAAAUUAAAGAAAACAAGCAUGGCUAGUAGCAAAGCUGGUGUCUUCACUCUCCUCCUUCUGUGUGUUUUCUUACUGGAAAGCAACGUGGAAUCUGCAGAAGCUAAGAUUUGUGCACAGCAUUGUUUGUCAAGUGUAGGUUUCGUGACUUGCCCAUCUUCGGGUCAUAAGAAGCUUCGUCCAAAAUGUAUCAACUGUUGCAAAGCACGAAAGGGUUGCAAACUAUACCAUAGAAAUGGGUCUUUAAUAUGUACCGGAACUUAAUCACUUUUGAGAAUUAAUCUCAAAAAAGGGUAUUACUAAACUUCCAAAUAAGUUAUGGUCAUAUAUAUGUAAAAUAAAUUCUGCGUUUAUGUUUAACUCAGAUGACCGAUAUUACAUAUAAUAACAAUGGAUUUUUCA